rnacentral:rRNA from 1 species
ACUCCUACGGGAGGCAGCAGUAAGGAAUAUUGGUCAAUGGGCGAAAGCCUGAACCAGCCAUCCAGCGUGCAGGAAGAAGGCCCUAUGGGCUGUAAACUGCUUUUGUCAGGGAAUAAACCUCUCGAUUCAUCGGGAGCUGAAGGUACCUGAAGAAUAAGCACCGGCUAACUCCGUGCCAGCAGCCGCGGUAAUACGGAGGGUGCGAGCGUUAUCCGGAAUUACUGGGUUUAAAGGGUGCGUAGGCGGCCAUGUAAGUCAGGAGUGAAAGUUUGCGGCUCAACCGUAAAAUUGCUUUUGAUACUGCAUGGCUGGAAUCAGGAUGAGGUCAGCGGAAUGUGGCAUGUAGCGGUGAAAUGCAUAGAUAUGCCAUAGAACACCAAUUGCGAAGGCAGCUGGCUAGACCUGUAUUGACGCUGAGGCACGAAAGCGUGGGGAGCGAACAGGAUUAGAUACCCUGGUAG